ensembl:lncRNA
CAGGCUUGGGACAGCAUGGGGGUUACAUGCUUCAGCCUAGGAGCUCGCCUUUGGGCUCUGCUAAGUUAUAGGAGCUUUCUAGGCCUCAAGACUCUCAUAUGUAGAGUGGAGGUAACAUUAGCAUGUGGGGCUGUUGUGAGAAUUCGAUGAGCAAACGCAGCUGUCUGUACCAUGUGCCAAGUUGCUUUAGUCGUGUCUGAUGCUUUGCAACCCCAUGAACUGCAGCCCACCAGGCUCCUCUGUCCACAGGAUUCUCAAGGCAAGAACACUGGAGUAGGUUGCAAAAUUUUCUCUUCUGGGGAUCUUCCUCACCCAGGAGUCUCUUAUGGCACCUGCAUUGGCAGCUGAGAAAAUGGAGGCAAUGUGAAGGUUAAGCUCCUGCCCAAGGUCACCAGCUGGUUGUUUCUACAGGGCAAGAUGAACUAACAAACCCCAAAGCCAUGAACCACCUGGC